AACCGUGUCUUGGAAAAAAAAAAAAAAAAAAGGAAGGAAAGAAGGAAGGCAGACAUGGAACACCAUAUAUUUAUUGGCAAAGCUGUCUCCAUUUAUUUGGCGUCUAUUUCUUAUUUGCCCAAAUAACAUUC
rfam:Mesocricetus auratus contig159594, whole genome shotgun sequence.